GACGGAGGGUGCUAGCGUUGUUCGGAAUUACUGGGCGUAAAGGGCGCGUAGGCGGCCUGGUCAGUCGGAUGUGAAAGCCCGGGGCUCAACCCCGGAACGGCAUCCGAGACGGCCAGGCUGGAGACCGGGAGAGGAGAGUGGAAUAGCCAGUGUAGAGGUGAAAUUCGUAGAUAUUCGGAAGAACACCAGUGGCGAAGGCGGCUUUCUGGUCUGUAACUGACGCUGAGGCGCGAAAGCGUGGGGAGCAAACAGG
rnacentral:rRNA from 1 species